UGGAAACUGAUGAGCUAGAGUGCAGGAGAGGAAAGCGGAAUUCCUAGUGUAGCGGUGAAAUGCGUAGAUAUUAGGAAGAACACCAGUGGCGAAGGCGGCUCUCUGGACUGAAACUGACGCUGAGGCACGAAAGCGUGGGGAGCAAACAGGAUUAGGUACCCUGGUAGUCCACGCUGUAAACGAUGAAUGCUAGGUGUUGGGGCGCAAGCCUCGGUGCCGCAGUUAACGCAGUAAGCAUUCCACCUGGGGAGUACGACCGCAAGGUUGAAACUCAAAGGAAUUGACGGGGGCCCGCACAAGCGGUGGAGCAUGUGGUUUAAUUCGAAGCAACGCGAAGAACCUUACCAAGUCUUGACAUCCCUCUGAAUAUCGUAGAGAUACGAUAGGCCUUCGGGACAGAGGUGACAGGUGGUGCAUGGUUGUCGUCAGCUCGUGUCGUGAGAUGUUGGGUUAAGUCCCGCAACGAGCGCAAC
rnacentral:rRNA from 1 species